GCAGCUGCUGGUUGGCCUCAUGCAACUGGGUCCCUUUCUGUUUUGUAGCCUCCAGCAACUCCUCCCAGAGGCUGGCAACUUCACUCAGACGAGUGGUCACAUUGUCAGAGGCAUAGUGACCACCCUCAAUCAUCUCUUGGCCAGUUUUCUGUAUGUUUUCCAGCUGGGUCUUAUUAACUGCCAACUCCUUUUCAAAGACUUGCUGCU
rnacentral:lncRNA from 1 species